UUGAGGGGAGGAAAAAGGAAAUCAAUCAAAGUUCUUCCUCACUAAAGAUGUCACUUAAUAUGAACUAAAUACUGGCAGCCUCUUUGCUAUUUUUUGCCUUCAUUAAAUUCCUGGAGGGUCUGAGAGGAGGAAAAGGAGUAUGAGUAACAGCAAAGGCACAGCUCUGACUCACCAUAAGAUGUCAUUUACAGCAACUAAAAACACUGCGGCCAGCUUCCUAACUAUUUCUGGCCUUUGUUGAAUAAUUCCUGGAGGGUCUGGGAGGAGGGAGGGGAGAAGGGGCAGAGGGAAAGGAGGAAAGAAGGAACAGGAGAGAAGGAGGAAAGAAGGGAAGGAGUGGCAAAAUCACAGCUCUUCCUCACCAAUAGAUGUCAUUUAUACCAACUAAAAAAUGCUGGCAGGUUCCUAACUAUUUCUUGCCCCUGACAUAUUUCUGAUGCUGGCAGGUUCCCAACUAUUUCUUGCCCCUGACAUAUUUCUGAUGCUGGCAGGUUCCUAACUAUUUCUUGCCCCUGACAUAUUUCUGAUGCUGGCAGGUUCCCAACUAUUUCUUGCCCCUGACAUAUUUCUGAUGCUGGCAGGUUCCUAACUAUUUCUUGACCCUGACAUAUUUCUGAUGCUGGCAGGUUCCUAACUAUUUCUUGCCCCUGACAUAUUUCUGAUGCUGGCAGGUUCCUAACUAUUUCUUGCCCCUGACAUAUUUCUGAUGCUGGCAGGUUCCCAACUAUUUCUUGACCCUGACAUAUUUCUGAUGCUGGCAGGUUCCUACUAUUUCUUGACCCUGACAUAUUUCUGAUGCUGGCAGGUUCCUAACUAUUUCUUGCCCCUGACAUAUUUCUGAUGCUGGCAGGUUCCCAACUAUUUCUUGACCCUGACAUAUUUCUGAUGCUGGCAGGUUCCCAACUAUUUCUUGACCCUGACAUAUUUCUGAAGUGUUCUGGGGGGAGGAAAAAGGUGACAGGAGCACUGGAGAAAGUGAAGCUCUUCCUUACUAAAAGAUGUUGAUUAAUAAUAACAAAAAAAAAUCAUUGGCAGCUUCUAUGUUAUUUCCUGCCUCUGUUAAAUUGGUAGGGAGGAGGAAGAAGGUGGUGUGUGUGUGUGUGUGUGUGUGUGUGUGUGUGUGUGGCUGGAGGGAGGCAGCUAUUAGCAAGUUCAGAACAGCAGUGACUAUGAAAUUAAGGCAUAGAAGAUAGGAAUUAAAGAAGAAUGAGUGUGAUGGCAGUGACUUAGAGAGGACUGAGUGAAGCAAAUGGCAGUCAGGACAAAAUGCAGAAAUAAGGAAGGACAAGUAUUUCAGAGUUUACCAGGGAAAGGGAUGUAAAAAAGUGAUGAUUUUGGUUAACUCAGGCAUUAGGAAGUUAAAUAACAGAGGAAUGAGCUUGAGCAGAAAGCCUCGGGCACUGCAGAAGGCAGGAAGGAAGCAGCUGUUAGCAAGUUCAGAACAGCAGUGACUAUGAAAUGAAGGCACAGAAGACAGCACAGGAAGGGAAGAAUUUGAUUGGUGACAGGGACUUAGGAAGAUGAUUUAGGACAGAUUGUAAAUGCUUCAUGUGGAAGAGUGCAGCAGCUGAGUAUUGUAAAGGAUGGGGAAAAGUUGCGUGAAAGGCUGCGUCAAGUUGGCAGAUGAUGAAGUUAAGGUCCAUAUUGUCAAA